CCUACGGGCGGCUGCAGUGAGGAAUAUUGGUCAAUGGGCGCGAGCCUGAACCAGCCAAGUAGCGUGAAGGAUGACUGCCCUACGGGUUGUAAACUUCUUUUAUAAAGGAAUAAAGUGAGGCACGUGUGCCUUUUUGUAUGUACUUUAUGAAUAAGGAUCGGCUAACUCCGUGCCAGCAGCCGCGGUAAUACGGGGGAUCCAAGCGUUAUCCGGAGAUACAUGGUGUAAAGAGUUAGGUUAGAUGGAUAAUAGUUAGCGAGGGAAAUUUGGUGGCUUAACCUUUCAGACUAUUGGCUAAACUGUUAGGCUCGAGACCAGUAGAGGUAAGUGGAAUUGCUAGUGUAGCGGUGAAAUGCGUAGAUAUUAGGAGGAACACCAAUAGCGAAGGCAGGUUACUGGAACGGUACUGACACUGAGGCUCGAAAGCGUAGGGAGCAAACAGGAUUAGAUACCCCAGUAGUC
rnacentral:rRNA from 1 species